GGCACAAACUUGAAGUAGAGUAGUUUAGCAUGGUCAGCCGAUCCUACUUAUUUGUUCUACUUCAAAUUUGGUCCC
rnacentral:pre_miRNA from 1 species